rnacentral:rRNA from 1 species
AUUGAACGCUGGCGGCAUGCCUUACACAUGCAAGUCGAACGGCAGCACGGGUGCUUGCACCUGGUGGCGAGUGGCGAACGGGUGAGUAAUACAUCGGAACGUACCUUAUCGUGGGGGAUAACGCAGCGAAAGCUGUGCUAAUACCGCAUACGCCCUGAGGGGGAAAGCGGGGGAUCGAAAGACCUCGCGCGAUUAGAGCGGCCGAUGCCUGAUUAGCUUGUUGGUGGGGUGAAAGCCCACCAAGGCGACGAUCAGUAGCUGGUCUGAGAGGACGAUCAGCCACACUGGGACUGAGACACGGCCCAGACGCCUACGGGAGGCAGCAGUGGGGAAUUUUGGACAAUGGGGGCAACCCUGAUCCAGCAAUGCCGCGUGAGUGAAGAAGGCCUUCGGGUUGUAAAGCUCUUUUGUCAGGGAAGAAACACCGGCUCUAACACAGUCCGGGAAUGACGGUACCUGAAGAAUAAGCACCGGCUAACUACGUGCCAGCCGCCGCGGUAA